UCUAUCUCGUUCGCCCCUUUCCCUCGUCCCUCUCCGCAACGAGCUGAAACGAGAAAACCGGUCUCCGCGAAAGGGGCUAAUUUCCGACCGCGAAUCGACUUCCUGUUAGAAUUCUGGCAUCGAAAUCGCGCGAACCACCGACGACGAACCAACGGCCCUCGGCUCCACUCGCUAUCGUUCAUGGAAGAAACAAAAGAAACGGGAGAACCGAGUCGAAAACCACCGAGACCUUUCACCGCGGAGGACACCCUCCUACGGCUCGUACUUGUGUACGACCGCAGUUGCGCGAACUACUCACACACCCCCUCUCCUACGUGUUUGUCCAUUCGGGACCACCACCCGACCUGCACGAAUUCCGCUCUCUUCCCGUGCAUGUGCCAGGCCCAAGGUGGGGAGGCAGAUACGCGUCCUGAAAGGACGUCUGUCGCUCGCGGCCACUUCCACUCUCCUGAUUUUACAGGAACGUGCGCCAGCUUCCGGGUCCUAUUUGUAGGCGUACGACGAUUCUUUGAGUUUAGGUUUCAUCGAGUUGAUCGCUGAGAAACGAUCCAUUCAUGCGGUCUUAAUAAAUAAUGGGAUGCGGUGUAUGUUCGAACCAAUAAGGAUCACAGGUCGCACUUACGUCAUGGAAAACCUGGUAUUGAUCGCACCCUAGGCCAAUGGGGUUCACCGCCGCAACGGUGUUACUCUUACUGUUCUGGCGGUGAAUUCGAAUGCGUCACCGCCAACACUCUAAGCCGGGAAAGUAUGAAUUUUCUCGUCGAACAUUGAUGUCGCGAAAUCGCACAUCAUUGGCGAUAAUUAUCUUGAAAGUUGUUGAAUGAUGGUCUUGUGCAAUGUACAUUGUAUGUAGAUGUGUUUCAGAGUCUAAUGCGAUGAAUUUCCCAAUUAAUCGAUAAUAAUAAAAUCGUAAUUUACGAAUAAAAUCAUAAGUAGAAUGAGAAAUUUGUUGCUGCGCUUGGACGACGAACGUCUGACAUAGACGGUAUUAAUACUACUGGCGCGCGGCUGACUAGCGAUGACAAUCACAUCUUAAAUGUCGAUCAAUCAAGAGCAAUAUUAAAAUCAGCUGCCAACAGCCAUCAACCUAAAGUAGUAGACUCUGCUGAUCUGCUUUUAUGGUAUGCAAUACACGCAUGAUUAAUGAUGUAUGGAGGGUAGCCAAAGAUACUGAAUCGUAUCUUUCUUUCGCGAGAAUCAAAUAAAAAGUAAUAUUAUACGGAUCGUAAAUCAGGUUCCAAUGUACAAUCAUAAAUAAUAUAUAUUUUUAUUUUCUUGCACGUGCAUCUGAACUCAAUUCAGGUCAAAUUUUACAAUCAAUCGUGUAAGAUUAGACAAAAUCAUUUUUACAUAUAUCAUGUUUCAUAAUGAUUGCAAUGCGUUACAUAAAAUUGAAUAAUGUGCGGUACACGUACUUAUAAAUAAUUUGUUAAGAGUAUUAUGUGAAAUUAAUAGAUCAAGAGAAGCUAAUUUAAAUUCUUACAAAUUUGGCACAUUUAGGUGGAAAAUAACAUAUAACAAUUGAAGCAUUAUCAAAGAGCAAUGUAAGAAUAAAUGGCAAGCGAAAUUAGAAA